UACAGAGGUGGCAAGCGUUUGUUCGGAAUUACUGGGCGUAAAGGGCGCGUAGGCGGUUUGCUAAGUUGAAUGUGAAAACUCUGGGCUUAACCCAGAGCCUGCAUUCAAUACUGGCAGGCUAGAGUUCUGGAGGGGAUAGCGGAAUUCCUGGUGUAGCGGUGAAAUGCGUAGAUAUCAGGAGGAACACCGGUGGCGAAGGCAGCCUCUGGGCCAACACUGACGCUCGAUGCACGAAAGCGUGGGGAGCAAACAGG
rnacentral:rRNA from 1 species